AUUCUUUUAAUUUAAAACUCAUAUUUACUCAUUGUGUCGCCAACUUAGUCAAUUGAACUUACUAUAUCCCUGAAGGCCUGCUGCGACGUUUUGCUUGAGCAUCUACACUCUCAAGGGGAGUGUUCGCAACCUAAUUAGGUUAGUAAUUAAUUAUGUAAAUUCUAUUAGGAUUUGUGAUAUCUUUUAAAUAGUGUCUUUCCUACUACUAUAAAUAGAACCACAAUGAAGUG
rnacentral:lncRNA from 1 species